CAGUAGCCGCGGGAAUACGAAGGGUGCAAGCGUUACUCGGAAUUACUGGACGUAAAGCGUGCGUAGGUGGUGGUUUAAGUCCGUUGUGAAAGCCCUGGGCUCAACCUGGGAAUUGCAGUGGAUACUGGGUCACUAGAGUGUGGUAGAGGAUAGUGGAAUUUCCGGUGUAGCAGUGAAAUGCGUAGAGAUCGGAAGGAACAUCUGUGGCGAAGGCGACUAUCUGGGCCAACACUGACACUGAGGCACGAAAGCGUGGGGAGCAAACAGGAUUAGAUACCCCUGUAGUCCCUGUCUCUUAUAC
rnacentral:rRNA from 1 species